AUUGAACGCUAGCGGGAUGCCUUACACAUGCAAGUCGAACGGCAGGGCGGACUUCGGUCUGGCGGCGAGUGGCGAACGGGUGAGUAAUGUAUCGGAACGUGCCCAGUAGCGGGGGAUAACUACUCGAAAGAGUAGCUAAUACCGCAUACGCCCUACGGGGGAAGGGGGGGGAUCGCAAGACCUCUCACUAUUGGAGCGGCCGAUAUCGGAUUAGCUAGUUGGUGAGGUAAAGGCUCACCAAGGCGACGAUCCGUAGCUGGUUUGAGAGGACGACCAGCCACACUGGGACUGAGACACGGCCCAGACUCCGACGGGAGGCAGCAGUGGGGAAUUUUGGACAAUGGGGGCAACCCUGAUCCAGCCAUUCCGCGUGUGCGAUGAAGGCCUUCGGGUUGUAAAGCACUUUUGGCAGGAAAGAAAUCGCACGGAUUAAUACUCUGUGUGGAUGACGGUACCUGCAGAAUAAGCACCGGCUAACUACGUGCCAGCAGCCGCAGUAA
rnacentral:rRNA from 1 species